AGAGUUUGAUCCUGGCUCAGAUUGAACGCUGGCGGUAUGCUUUACACAUGCAAGUCGAACGGCAGCACGGGGCAACCUGGUGGCGAGUGGCGAACGGGUGAGUAACAUAUCGGAACAUAUCCGGAAGUGGGGGAUAACGUAGCGAAAGUUACGCUAAUACCGCAUAUGCCCUGAGGGGGAAAGGGGGGGAUCGCAAGACCUCUCGCUUUCGGAGUGGCCGAUAUCGGAUUAGCUAGAUGGUGAGGUAAAGGCUCACCAUGGCGACGAUCCGUAGCGGGUCUGAGAGGACGACCCGCCACACUGGAACUGAGACACGGUCCAGACUCCUACGGGAGGCAGCAGUGGGGAAUUUUGGACAAUGGGCGCAAGCCUGAUCCAGCCACACCGCGUGAGUGAAGAAGGCCUUCGGGUUGUAAAGCUCUUUCAGCCGGAAAGAAAUCGCACUUUUUAAUACGGAGUGUGGAUGACGGUACCGGAAGAAGAAGCACCGGCUAACUACGUGCCAGCCGCCGCGGU
rnacentral:rRNA from 1 species